rnacentral:rRNA from 1 species
UACAGAGGUCUCAAGCGUUGUUCGGAUUCAUUGGGCGUAAAGGGUGCGUAGGCGGCGCGGUAAGUCGGGUGUGAAAUCUUGGAGCUUAACUCCGAAACUGCAUUCGAUACUGCCGCGCUUGAGGACUGGAGAGGAGACUGGAAUUUACGGUGUAGCGGUGAAAUGCGUAGAUAUCGUAAGGAAGACCAGUGGCGAAGGCGGGUCUCUGGACAGUUCCUGACGCUGAGGCACGAAGGUCAGGGGAGCAAACGGG